GAUGAACGCUGGCGGCGUGCCUAAUACAUGCAAGUCGAGCGAACAGACGAGGAGCUUGCUCCUUUGACGUUAGCGGCGGACGGGUGAGUAACACGUAGGUAACCUACCUAUAAGACUGGGAUAACUUCGGGAAACCGGAGCUAAUACCGGAUAAUAUUUCGAACCGCAUGGUUCAAUAGUGAAAGAUGGCUUUGCUAUCACUUAUAGAUGGACCUGCGCCGUAUUAGCUAGUUGGUAAGGUAACGGCUUACCAAGGCAACGAUACGUAGCCGACCUGAGAGGGGGAUCGGCCACACUGGAACUGAGACACGGUCCAGACUCCUACGGGAGGCAGCAGUAGGGAAUCUUCCGCAAUGGGCGAAAGCCUGACGGAGCAACGCCGCGUGAGUGAUGAAGGUCUUCGGAUCGUAAAACUCUGUUAUUAGGGAAGAACAAACGUGUAAGUAACUGUGCACGUCUUGACGGUACCUAAUCAGAAAGCCACGGCUAACUACGUG
rnacentral:rRNA from 1 species